rfam:Trichinella pseudospiralis scaffold1s, whole genome shotgun sequence.
CCAACGGCCCUUUUUAGGGCCAUCUGUUGUCACCUUGAAAAUGUC